UGCUCGGGCCCGCAGCUGCACC
rnacentral:misc_RNA from 1 species